ACGAACGCUGGCGGCACGCUUAACACAUGCAAGUCGAACGAGAGAAGAGGAGCUUGCUUUUCUGAUCUAGUGGCGGACGGGUGAGUAACACGUGAGCAAUCUGCCUUUCAGAGGGGGAUACCGAUUGGAAACGAUCGUUAAUACCGCAUAACAUAAUUGAACCGCAUGAUUUGAUUAUCAAAGAUUUAUCGCUGAAAGAUGAGCUCGCGUCUGAUUAGCUAGUUGGUAAGGUAACGGCUUACCAAGGCGACGAUCAGUAGCCGGACUGAGAGGUUGAUCGGCCACAUUGGGACUGAGACACGGCCCAGACUCCUACGGGAGGCAGCAGUGGGGAAUAUUGCACAAUGGAGGAAACUCUGAUGCAGCGAUGCCGCGUGAGGGAAGAAGGUUUUAGGAUUGUAAACCUCUGUCUUCAGGGACGAAAAAAGACGGUACCUGAGGAGGAAGCUCCGGCUAACUACGUGCCAGCAGCCGCGGUAAUACGUAGGGAGCGAGCGUUGUCCGGAAUUACUGGGUGUAAAGGGAGCGUAGGCGGGAUCGCAAGUCAGAUGUGAAAACUAUGGGCUUAACCCAUAAACUGCAUUUGAAACUGUGGUUCUUGAGUGAAGUAGAGGUAAGCGGAAUUCCUAGUGUAGCGGUGAAAUGCGUAGAUAUUAGGAGGAACAUCAGUGGCGAAGGCGGCUUACUGGGCUUUAACUGACGCUGAGGCUCGAAAGCGUGGGGAGCAAACAGGAUUAGAUACCCUGGUAGUCCACGCCGUAAACGAUGAUUACUAGGUGUGGGGGGACUGACCCCUUCCGUGCCGCAGCAAACGCAAUAAGUAAUCCACCUGGGGAGUACGACCGCAAGGUUGAAACUCAAAGGAAUUGACGGGGGCCCGCACAAGCAGUGGAGUAUGUGGAUUAAUUCGAAGCAACGCGAAGAACCUUACCAGGUCUUGACAUCGUAUGCAUAGCUCAGAGAUGAGUGAAAUCUCUUCGGAGACAUAUAGACAGGUGGUGCAUGGUUGUCGUCAGCUCGUGUCGUGAGAUGUUGGGUUAAGUCCCGCAACGAGCGCAACCCUUACUGUUAGUUGCUACGCAAGAGCACUCUAGCAGGACUGCCGUUGACAAAACGGAGGAAGGUGGGGAUGACGUCAAAUCAUCAUGCCCCUUAUGACCUGGGCCUCACACGUACUGCAAUGGCUGUCAACAGAGGGAUGCAAAGCCGCGAGGUGGAGCGAACCCCUAAAAGCAGUCUUAGUUCGGAUUGUAGGCUGCAACCCGCCUACAUGAAGUCGGAAUUGCUAGUAAUCGCAGAUCAGCAUGCUGCGGUGAAUACGUUCCCGGGCCUUGUACACACCGCCCGUCACGCCAUGGGAGUCGGUAACACCCGAAGCCUGUAGUCUAACCGCAAGGAGGACGCAGUCGAAGGUGGGAUUGAUGACUGGGGUG
rnacentral:rRNA from 1 species